rfam:Penicillium freii strain DAOM 242723 scaffold_183, whole genome shotgun sequence.
AUUCUAGUGCAAGGGUCUUACACGCAUCAGUGAGGAGAAAUUCCGAGAUCGUGUUUUUGCUGGUUGAAAACUACCACCUUGACCACUUCAAGUGGGCCUAACCGCCUGCUUGGGAAUUUUUGAAGCUACCUCUCUCGAGU